CAGUAGCGUAUAUUAAAGUUGUUGCAGUUAAAAUGCUCGUAGUUGAAGUUCGGAUGCAGCAGAGCUUGGAAACGCUGUUAUGGUGCUUCCGUUGCUUUUGCUUGUCCACAGUGCGUUGCAAGUACGUAUGUGCUUGUGCGUGCAUUUUACUUUGAGAAACAUAGGGUGUUCCACGCAUGUUACGGCAUGAAUAUUCCAGCAUGGGAUUAUCUGGUACGACUUCCAAUCUGCCAUUUUGGUUCGUAGGUUGGAAGUAAUGAUUAAUAGGGACUGUCGGGGGCAUUGGUAUUUGACUGUCAGAGGUGAAAUUCUUAGAUUCGUUGAGGACCAACCACUGCGAAAGCAUUUGUCAAGGAUGUCUCCAUUAA
rnacentral:rRNA from 1 species